rnacentral:lncRNA from 1 species
CUGCACCCUCCUAUGUACGAGACACAAUUUGCACACCAAUGCAAUGGAAGCUGUUGAGGAGGAACCACCUCGGUUUGAUCUUUGUAAACUGCUGGUCUUCAGCCUCCAUAGACAGUUCUGGCAGUGCACUUGAACAAGGCUGCAAAGAUAAUUAAUGCACACAAAAGACCACAUGGAACAGCACCAAGAGGUCCUGCCAGUGUUACCCUGCUCUUUGUGGACACGUGGGACCCAGCAGAAUCCAUUGAGCAGCCAGCAGAAGCAGCAGAGCUGGGAACAGUGAGCAGAUGUCCUGAGCCGGCCCGAGGAAGCCCAGGCAGCCACACCAAUACAACCACCAGCACACAGGAUCUCUUUGUUGUCUUGAGCUCUCAGGGUGGCUGCCUAACACCUGCAGCACUCCCACAUCCCUGUGUAAAUUGCCUGCAUCCCUCGCUGACAAAUGAGAGGCCAUUGCCAGCAACAAGGUAA